rnacentral:piRNA from 1 species
UGAAGAUGCGCAGUGCAAAUACGGG